AUAGAUUGGCAUUGUUGAAAUCGGUAUCAGCGGUUACCAAAAUAGGUGAUUCUACAGUUCAACCGCUGAAAAUGGCUAAUGCUGUUGACAUCAGAAGUCGCUCGCUGAUCGAUGUUCUUAUAUCAGUAACAAUCACUAUUUGGAAGAGAUUAGGGGAAGCGUUUAUCAAACCGCGUGCUGGUCGCGGUAAACCCUAGAACUAGUUUUCCAUCACAAUAUCCUUUCAUUGAAGGAUUACAACGCUAAUCACUCGGAUUUUGGAGUUGGUAGCUAGAGCGCAAUUUGCCAUAAUUAAUAAUGACUCUGGUUUGUGCUCUGUUUUCAUGAUGCCUAAUGUGAGGUACAUUAGAAGAUCCUGGAACAAUGUGUUGGGGGAUUUCUUAAGGUGGAGGAGAAUAAUGGGUCCGUCAAUGGCUUCCGCAGCGGCGAAGCCUAUGAAGGAGAAGCUCAAGUUGUUCAACCUGCAUUUUGAGGAGAUGUGCAGGGAUCAGUCUCAGUGGUUUAUUUUUUAUGUGCAGCUCAGGGAAGAAAUAAGAAUCUACCUGUAAAAGAUCUUGUUGCAGUAGCAAUAGCAACAUCCUGGACUUUGAUAUGCUCAACCUGGAAGAGAAUACACUGGUCCCUUAUAGAGUAUGGUAACAGCAACCAGGAAGAGAAUACACUGGUCCCUCAAUUCUAAUUGAGCUUCAAACAAUCGAUGGACUGAUAAAGGUUUGACCAAUGUAUAAAAUAAGAUAUGUGAUAUGUGACUGACAGGGAAUCAUACAUCCAGAACUCAGUUUUUUGACCAUGGUCCUCUAAAGCUGUAAAAUGCAUAAGUGGAUGCAACAUGUGGUUGGGUAUUCAGAGUGUGUUUCCAAAUGAUUGAAAAGGCCACUUCUUUCAGCAUGUACAGUUGGGGAAGGAGAAGAAGUUGAGCAGGUUAUGGAAGGUUAUAUGGUAUGCCACUAUUUGCGGCAUAUGGCUGUUAAAGAACUCUGUAUUUUUUAACGGGGGGAUUUAGUGCAGAACCUAUUCUUGACUUGAUUAAAAUGAGGUCUUGGUUGUGGUUAAAAGCAAAUGUGAAUAAUUUUAAAGCUACUUUCUAUCAAUGGGGUAUGGAUCCAGAUUAUUGCCUAAAGUGAAGUGUUGUGCAAAUAUCAUCUGGGCGAUAGUUUCAGGUUUGAACUCAUUGUUUCAACUCUUUCACUGUUUGGAGUAUAUUGUGGCUAUUUUCCAACGGUUCUGCUCAGGCCUUGGUGUAAAGAGGCUUAAUGGAAAUUACUGCAGGUAAUUGAUAACAGUGUAGGGAUGGUUAUUAGUAUAGCACAAGCAGUCCAUAAUGGCUGUUUUUGUGUCUUACUAGAUUUCUUAUUUAUGACAUUGCUGUUUUUUUUUUUGGACAAUGCAUCUAUUAACAACUUUGUUCAUCGGUACCUGCAUGCAACCACGAAUGGAGAGCAAGCAAGGGCAAGUGUCAUGACAUUGAUGUUUGAUUACGCAUGUUUGGUGUUUGGUUUUUGAAGUGGGAGGGGGUUUCAUUUUCUGUUUGGUCAAAUAUGCUGGGUUCAGUUGUAUUAUUUCUACUUGUUUAUGUAAACUUUUGUUGUAUUGGUUUGAAGCUUUUGCUUCCUUUAAUUCAUUUUGGCUUUUUCGAAAAAUAAAAGGUGGAUGCUAAUAAAAAAAGAUCAACUACUCUAAUUCCAAGAAGUAAUAAAUGAUGGGGGCUUUAGUUAAUAUAUUAAAGGGAUUAGUUAAUAAUUAUUUGUUCUAAAAUAUUUGUUCUAAUUGAGCUGUGGUCAGAUCAAAUACAUGAUCGAGCACAUGCAGGUGAAUGUAAAAUACUGACUAAACUCAAUGUACUGCUUAGCUCCGAAAAGUAAAAAAUGACAGUGCUUUAUUAGUCAAUACACUAGUUAAUAAAAAAAUUAUCAGAACCCAUUUCACACCACCAUUUAUUAUUUAUUAUUUUUAUUUAACAACUUUUGAAGGUGGUAAUUAUAAAAUUAAGAAACGAAAGGGAAUCUGAUCUCUUCCCUAACCUUCAACCCGUAUGAAAGUAAUUACAUACAUACUUAUUACUCCACUGUUUGUUGCAUAUAAGUACCUUGCUAGUCUCUUCUUGUUAGUAAUUACAUACCUAUCACUCCACAGUUUGUUGCAUAUAAGUGUUCUUGCUGGUCUCUUGUUUACUGUUUGUUGCAUAUAAAUACCUUGCUAGUAUCUUCUUGUUAGUAAUUAAAUACCUAUCACUCCACUGUUUGUUGCAUAUAAGUGUUCUUGCUGGUCUCUUGUUUACGAUUUUCAAGUUCCUGUAUCAUGACAAGUCAAACAACACUCUCCAUGUUUUCCAACUUCAAAUAUCAAUGGACUUAUGAUGUCUUCCUCAGUUUUAGAGGUGAAGACACCAGGUUAAAUUUCACUAGUCAUCUCAAUUAUUCUCUACGGCAAAGGGGAAUUCAUACUUUCAUUGAUAAUUAAAAGCUUAGAAGAGGAGAAGAAAUCAGACCAGCUCUACUUGACGCCAUUCUAGAAUCUAGAAUUGCGAUCAUUGUUUUCUCUCAGAAUUAUGCUUCCUCGACAUUUUGUUUGGAAGAACUUGUUACCAUUCUUGAGUCAUUAAAUGUACGAGGUCGAUUGGUAUGGCCAAUUUUUUAUGAUGUGGAGCCAUCACAAGUUCGGCAUCAGACAGGGAUUUAUGCAGAAGCCAUGGCGAAACAUGAGGAAAGGUUCCAAGAUGACAAGGAUAAGGUGCAAAAAUGGAGGAAGGCUUUAUGUCAAGCAGCUGAUCUAUCAGGCUGGCAUUUCCAAAACGGUUCUGAGUCAGAAAAUGUGUUUAUCCAAAAUAUUGUUGAAGAAGUCUCAAAAUAGAUAAAUCACACUCUUUUACAUGUUGUUGAUAACCCAAUUGGGUUGGACUCUGCGGUGCUAGAAGUGCGGUCUCUCCUAGGACUUGGGUCUGAAGUGGUCAUGGUAGGCAUGUAUGGAUUUGGGGGAAUUUGUAAAACAACAAUUGCCCGUGCUUUGUAUAACUUGAUUGCCGAUCAAUUUGAAGGUUCGUGUUUUCUUGCUGACAUCAGAGAAACUGCAAUUAGUAAGCAUGGUCUUGUACAACUCCAAGAAAUGCUACUAUCUGAAAUACUUAGGGAGAAAGAUAUCAAAGUGGGAAAUGCCAACCAAGGAAUUCCAAUAAUAAAAAGAAGGCUCCAACAAAAGAAGGUUCUUUUGGUUUUGGAUGAUGUUGACAAACCGGCACAGUUAAAGGCACUUGCAGGAAGAUUUGAUUGGUUUGGCUCUGGCAGUAAGAUCAUUAUAACAACAAGAAACAAACACUUGUUAGCUACCCAUGGAGUAGAAAAUUUAUAUGAGAUUAAGGCGCUAAGCGACGAGAAAGCUCUUGAAUUGUUUAGCUGGCAUGCCUUUAAAAGUAGUACAAUUAAUCCUAGUUAUGUGGAUAUUUCAAACCGUGUUGUUUCUUAUGCAUGUGGCGUUCCAUUGGCUUUGGAAGUGAUUGGUUCUCACUUAUGUGGUAAAAGUUCAUAUAAAUGUAACUCUGCAUUAGAUAAAUAGAUAAAUAUGAACGAGUUCCUCAUGAAGAUAUCCAUGAAAUUCUUAAACUGAGCUAUGUUGGUCUGGGGGAAGAUGAGAAAGGAAUUUUCCUGGACAUUGCUUGUUUCUGCAAUAAAUAUGAACUUGACUAUGUCAAACAAGUGCUCCACGCUCAUGGAUUUCAUGCAGAAGAUGGUAUUAGAGUGUUGGCUGAUAGAUCUCUUAUUAAGAUUGAUUCUUUUGGUUUUGUAAGAAUGCAUGACUUAAUCCAAGACAUGGGCAGAGAAAUUGUAAGGCAAGAAUCAACAAAUGAGCCUGGCAGCCGCAGUAGAUUAUGGUUUGAUGAGGAUGUCAUUCAUGUUUUAGAAGAAAAUACGGGAACUGAUAAAGUUGAGUUCAUAAAGCUCGAUAUGCACAACAACAUUGAAAUGCAAUGGAGUGGAAAUGCAUUCAAGAAGAUGAAAAACCUGAGAAUUAUGAUCAUUGAAAAUUCAACAAAGUCUUCUAUAGGCCCUGAGUAUCUACCAAAUAGUUUGAGAGUGCUAGCUUGGAGUUGUUAUCCAUCACCAUCUUUACCACCUGAUUUCAAUCCUAAACAACUUGAGAUGCUUUGUUUGCCGGAAAGUUGCAUUGGAUUCUUCCAACCUCCCAAGAUGUUGGAGUCCUUAUCUUUGAUAAAUUUUGAUGAUUGCAAGUUCUUAACCGAACUACCGAGCCUAAGUGGAGCACCAUUCUUGAAGAAUCUGUCCCUUGAUAACUGCACGAAGUUAGUUAAAAUUCAUGAUUCUGUUGGGUUUCUCGAGAAUCUCAAUUGCUUGAGCGCCAAAGGAUGCACCCAGCUAGAAGUUCUGGUGCCCUGCAUCAAGUUGACAUCUCUUGAAAUCCUGGAUCUCCAGGGAUGCUCAUGUCUUAAGAGAUUCCCGGAAGUAUUGGGAAAGAUGGAGAAAUUAAUAGAAAUUAAUUUAGACGACACUGCCAUUGGAAAGUUUCCAUCUUCCAUAGGAAAUCUUAUUGGGCUUGAGCGACUGUCCCUCAAGGGAUGGGGAAAGUGUGUUAAUUCAGCUACCGGAUAGUAUCCACAUGUUGCCUAAAGUCAAAGUGGAAGUGGGUUUUGGGCAUGGAGGCUUUAGAUUUUUUGAAGGGCACCAAGAGAAAGAAAGGUUGAGCUCAGAAGCAUCUCCAAGUACAAUGCUUGUAUAUGAUGAAGCUCAGCAAGGAAGUAGUGAUUUUACUACCUUUGAUGUGUAUUAUCCGUACAUGAGCUCCAAUAAUUUCAUCCAAGUAUGUAGUCCCAUUCCGCUAGUGCAUCAUGAAUUUGUAAGGUUGUUUGAUGAGCUUUUAAACAACGCGAUGUGGUAUGUCACGUUUAGGAAAUCAUCAACUCAUUUCUCAUUUCUCAUUUCAAAAGAAAUUCCCCAAGAUAGCUCUAUGUUGCUGUGCAGUUCCCGCCAUGAAAAUGAUCAAGUUGUUGGAAUUCAAGUUCAGCGUGCUCAUCAAUGGUGUCAAACAGUUCAGUUCUUCAUGUACCUAUAUAGCUAAAUUUUCCGAGCACAUACUUUGGUGUGACCUACAAGGCAAUGUAGAGGGGGAAUCAGCAGAGCAUGAAUGGAAUCAAGUUGAGAUUUUGUGUGAGUCGAUUUACCCUGUACCAAGUUCUGAAGUGGGAAUGGAAUCUUUAAAGUGGAGUAGUUCUGGAUGUUUAUGUAGCGUACUAUUUGCGGUCUACAAGGAAGGAAACAACAGGGAUGAUAUUAAAUUCGAAAAUCGUGAGUCGGAUUUUCCAUCUCCUGUUACAAAACCAGCCAUACCCGGCUGCUUUGACUACACUAUUACUCCAUGGAUCUUAUAAUAUCUGCCUUUAUUAUGUUUUUCUUUUUCUUCAAUUUACUCAGAACUUUGUAAUAAUAAGAAGAUAUUCUUUACUUUUUAGAUUUUCCCUUUAAUA